rfam:Lysinibacillus sphaericus OT4b.31 genomic scaffold Ls31_scaffold1, whole genome shotgun sequence.
CACAACUGAUUAACCGAAAUUCGGAAUGAAAGCCGUCAUGUUGAGCUGAAACGAAUUAUCUGAUACUCCUACAUGCAUGGAAUGGUAAUAGACAGGACGUGUAUGAAGCUAGGUAAAGUCGGCUGAAGAGUACCUAAGUCGCUAAGAAAGGAUAUGGUUCUCGAUAGGUCGGGAUGCUACAAA